UACGAAGGGGCUAGCGUUGUUCGGAAUUACUGGGCGUAAGCGCGCGUAGGCGGACCACCAAGUUGGAUGUGAAAUCCCAGGGCUCAACUCUGGAACCGCAUUCAAAACUGUUGGUCUAGAGGCUAGGAGAGGUCAGUGGAAUACCGAGUGUAGAGGUGAAAUUCGUAGAUAUUCGGUGGAACACCAGUGGCGAAGGCGGCUCACUGGCUCGAUACUGACGCUGAGGUGCGAAAGUGUGGGGAGCAAACAGGAUUAGAUACCCCCCGUAGU
rnacentral:rRNA from 1 species